UACGUAGGGUGCAAGCGUUGUCCGGAAUUAUUGGGCGUAAAGAGCUCGUAGGCGGUCUGUCGCGUCGGCUGUGAAACCCUGGGGCUCAACCCCAGGCCUGCAGUCGAUACGGGCAGACUAGAGUCCGGCAGGGGAGACUGGAAUUCCUGGUGUAGCGGUGAAAUGCGCAGAUAUCAGGAGGAACACCGGUGGCGAAGGCGGGGUCUCUGGGCCGGAACUGACGCUGGAGGAGCGAAAGCGUGGGGAGCGAACAGGA
rnacentral:rRNA from 1 species